GGGCUGACUGCAGACCCCAUCAGGGUCCAAAGAAGUCAUGUGCUCAACCUUGUCCUCCCAUAACACAAACAGAGAUAGGAGAGGAGUCAAGAUCCAGUCACAACAUAAACCAGCUGGGACACAUCUCACUCAGUGGAUGUACUUCAAGGAGUGACUGUUUCUGCCUCUGCUUUUCACAUGCACUCACUGUAGUUAGAGGGGAAAGGCAGACUGAGUGUGAGCAUCAAGUAGCUGAGCGGCUGGUCAAUCCUGGACCAUGAGGCUUAGUGUGGCGUUGUUUUUUGCGGGGCUUUUCGGGGCAUUGGCAGCUGUGUUCAUCCUCCUUUCGUUUGGAACUGAUUACUGGCUACUGGCCUCAGAGAGUUGCCACCCGAACCCUGAUGGAUCUGUUGGCCCGGGUGGUGUGACCAUAGAGCGUGGAGAUGUGUUGCUGCAGGAGAGCACUAGUGAUAUCACUCUAUACCAUGAGGGUUUUUUCUGGAGGUGUUCGUUUGGAGGUAGCGUGGGUGAUGACAACCUGAUGUGGAAGCUCUGGUUCACAAAUCAGCCUCAAUCAAAAGUUUGUAUGCAUGCCUACCUCUUCCCAUUCCCCGUGUCUCAUCAGACCCACAAUGCAACAGAGUAUGAUUCAGCCAUAAUCUACAGGGGCUUCUGGAGCAUCUUCAUGCUCAUUGGUGUGGCAGCUGUAGUGCUCGGUGGGUUCUUCAUCAUCUGUGCUGCUCCAUUCGCCAGCCAUCGCUUGUAUAAAGCAGGCGGCGGCCUGUUCCUGGCAUCUGGUCUUUUCCUGCUGUGUGUGGUGGUUAUGUACGUACUGUGGGUGCAGGUGUUGGAUGUGGUGGAUCUCUACAUAGACCACCAGCGCUCUACAGUGUGUCCAGACUUCCAGCUGUCCCUCAACUAUGGUCUGUCCUUCAUGUUUGCCCCUAUUGGCAUCUUCUUCUGCCUCCUGGCUGGCCUUCUUUUCCUCCUCAUUGGCCGAACCGUCCAGAAUCACUGCCACUGACUUCAACCAGCAGCAGGUUAGAGGAAGAGUUGAGGCUUGAGGUGGUUGGACUCAGUGGUGUAGUCUACGUGAUGCGCAGGUAUAUGCAGUAUACCCAACUAAGAAAGAUCCAGGAUUUCCAUAUACCCACUGUGUUUAUCUUCUUAGCAUAGGCUAAAUAAAGGUAUUUCCACCAUAAAUUGGUGCAUAAAAGUGUAUUCGAUUGCAGGAAAUGAAGUCUUUGGCGCUCAGAAUUUCCCUCUGGGAGGUGGCCGGUUGGCUCGGUUGGUAGAGGUGGGUGCACAUGUGCAGGGGUUUGUUCCUCGGUGCAGAAGGUCCGGGGUUCGAGUCCGGCCUGUGGCGGUUUUCCUGCAUGUCUUCCCCCAUCUUUCUCCCCUUUCAUAUCUCAGCUUUCCUGUCUAAUAAAGGCAGAAAUGCCCAAAAAUAACAAAAAUAAAUAAAAACAAUUCCCUCUGGGAGAACACCCAGA